UACAGAGGUCUCGAGCGUUAGGCGGAAUCACUGGGCUUAAAGCGUGUGUAGGUGGAUGCCUAAGUACCUUGUGAAAUCCCACGGCUUAACCGUGGAACUGCUUGGUAUACUGGGUGUCUUGAGUCACUCAGGGGCGAGCGGAACAAAUGGUGGAGCGGUGAAAUGCGUAGAUAUCAUUUGGAACGCCAAUGGUGAAAGCAGCUCGCUGGGGGUGCACUGACGCUGAGACACGAAAGCCAGGGGAGCGAACGGG
rnacentral:rRNA from 1 species